rnacentral:tRNA from 2 species
GGCCCCUUAGCUCAGUUGGAUAGAGCAAUCGCCUUCUAAGCGAUAGGUCGCUGGUUCGAGCCCAGCAGGGGUCGCCA